GGAGGACUGGCCGAGCAGGCAAGGCACCGGAUGAUUAAUCCGUGGUCCGGGCGGACGUCCCGGCGCGCGUUCGAUCCGCGCGUCCUCCA
rnacentral:tRNA from 1 species